GAUUAAGUUAUUAAGGGCGCACGGUGGAUGCCUUGGCACUAGAAGCCGAUGAAGGACGUUACUAACGACGAUAUGCUUUGGGGAGCUGUAAGUAAGCUUUGAUCCAGAGAUUUCCGAAUGGGGAAACCCAGCAUGAGUUAUGUCAUGUUAUCGAUAUGUGAAUACAUAGCAUAUCAGAAGGCACACCCGGAGAACUGAAACAUCUUAGUACCCGGAGGAAGAGAAAGAAAAUUCGAUUCCCUUAGUAGCGGCGAGCGAAACGGGAAGAGCCCAAACCAACAAGCUUGCUUGUUGGGGUUGUAGGACACUCUAUACGGAGUUACAAAGGACGACAUUAGACGAAUCAUCUGGAAAGAUGAAUCAAAGAAGGUAAUAAUCCUGUAGUCGAAAAUGUUGUCUCUCUUGAGUGGAUCCUGAGUACGACGGAGCACGUGAAAUUCCGUCGGAAUCUGGGAGGACCAUCUCCUAAGGCUAAAUACUCUCUAGUGACCGAUAGUGAACCAGUACCGUGAGGGAAAGGUGAAAAGCACCCCGGAAGGGGAGUGAAAUAGAACCUGAAACCGUGUGCUUACAAGUAGUCAGAGCCCGUUAAUGGGUGAUGGCGUGCCUUUUGUAGAAUGAACCGGCGAGUUACGAUUUGAUGCAAGGUUAAGCAGUAAAUGUGGAGCCGUAGCGAAAGCGAGUCUGAAUAGGGCGUUUAGUAUUUGGUCGUAGACCCGAAACCAGGUGAUCUACCCUUGGUCAGGUUGAAGUUCAGGUAACACUGAAUGGAGGACCGAACCGACUUACGUUGAAAAGUGAGCGGAUGAACUGAGGGUAGCGGAGAAAUUCCAAUCGAACCUGGAGAUAGCUGGUUCUCUCCGAAAUAGCUUUAGGGCUAGCCUCAAGUGAUGAUUAUUGGAGGUAGAGCACUGUUUGGACGAGGGGCCCCUCUCGGGUUACCGAAUUCAGACAAACUCCGAAUGCCAAUUAAUUUAACUUGGGAGUCAGAACAUGGGUGAUAAGGUCCGUGUUCGAAAGGGAAACAGCCCAGACCACCAGCUAAGGUCCCAAAAUAUAUGUUAAGUGGAAAAGGAUGUGGCGUUGCCCAGACAACUAGGAUGUUGGCUUAGAAGCAGCCAUCAUUUAAAGAGUGCGUAAUAGCUCACUAGUCGAGUGACACUGCGCCGAAAAUGUACCGGGGCUAAACAUAUUACCGAAGCUGUGGAUUGUCCUUUGGACAAUGGUAGGAGAGCGUUCUAAGGGCGUUGAAGCAUGAUCGUAAGGACAUGUGGAGCGCUUAGAAGUGAGAAUGCCGGUGUGAGUAGCGAAAGACGGGUGAGAAUCCCGUCCACCGAUUGACUAAGGUUUCCAGAGGAAGGCUCGUCCGCUCUGGGUUAGUCGGGUCCUAAGCUGAGGCCGACAGGCGUAGGCGAUGGAUAACAGGUUGAUAUUCCUGUACCACCUAUAAUCGUUUUAAUCGAUGGGGGGACGCAGUAGGAUAGGCGAAGCGUGCGAUUGGAUUGCACGUCUAAGCAGUAAGGCUGAGUAUUAGGCAAAUCCGGUACUCGUUAAGGCUGAGCUGUGAUGGGGAGAAGACAUUGUGUCUUCGAGUCGUUGAUUUCACACUGCCGAGAAAAGCCUCUAGAUAGAAAAUAGGUGCCCGUACCGCAAACCGACACAGGUAGUCAAGAUGAGAAUUCUAAGGUGAGCGAGCGAACUCUCGUUAAGGAACUCGGCAAAAUGACCCCGUAACUUCGGGAGAAGGGGUGCUCUUUAGGGUUAACGCCCAGAAGAGCCGCAGUGAAUAGGCCCAAGCGACUGUUUAUCAAAAACACAGGUCUCUGCUAAACCGUAAGGUGAUGUAUAGGGGCUGACGCCUGCCCGGUGCUGGAAGGUUAAGAGGAGUGGUUAGCUUCUGCGAAGCUACGAAUCGAAGCCCCAGUAAACGGCGGCCGUAACUAUAACGGUCCUAAGGUAGCGAAAUUCCUUGUCGGGUAAGUUCCGACCCGCACGAAAGGCGUAACGAUUUGGGCACUGUCUCAACGAGAGACUCGGUGAAAUCAUAGUACCUGUGAAGAUGCAGGUUACCCGCGACAGGACGGAAAGACCCCGUGGAGCUUUACUGUAGCCUGAUAUUGAAAUUCGGCACAGCUUGUACAGGAUAGGUAGGAGCCUUUGAAACGUGAGCGCUAGCUUACGUGGAGGCGCUGGUGGGAUACUACCCUAGCUGUGUUGGCUUUCUAACCCGCACCACUUAUCGUGGUGGGAGACAGUGUCAGGCGGGCAGUUUGACUGGGGCGGUCGCCUCCUAAAAGGUAACGGAGGCGCUCAAAGGUUCCCUCAGAAUGGUUGGAAAUCAUUCAUAGAGUGUAAAGGCAUAAGGGAGCUUGACUGCGAGACCUACAAGUCGAGCAGGGUCGAAAGACGGACUUAGUGAUCCGGUGGUUCCGCAUGGAAGGGCCAUCGCUCAACGGAUAAAAGCUACCCCGGGGAUAACAGGCUUAUCUCCCCCAAGAGUUCACAUCGACGGGGAGGUUUGGCACCUCGAUGUCGGCUCAUCGCAUCCUGGGGCUGUAGUCGGUCCCAAGGGUUGGGCUGUUCGCCCAUUAAAGCGGUACGCGAGCUGGGUUCAGAACGUCGUGAGACAGUUCGGUCCCUAUCCGUCGUGGGCGUAGGAAAUUUGAGAGGAGCUGUCCUUAGUACGAGAGGACCGGGAUGGACAUACCUCUGGUGUACCAGUUGUCGUGCCAACGGCAUAGCUGGGUAGCUAUGUGUGGACGGGAUAAGUGCUGAAAGCAUCUAAGCAUGAAGCCCCCCUCAAGAUGAGAUUUCCCAACUUCGGUUAUAAGAUCCCUCAAAGAUGAUGAGGUUAAUAGGUUCGAG
rnacentral:rRNA from 1 species